CGCCGCGUGAGUGAUGAAGGUUUUCGGAUCGUAAAACUCUGUUGUUAGGGAAGACAGUGCCAUAGUAACUGAUGGCACCUUGACGGUACCUAACCAGAAAGCCACGGCUAACUACGUGCCAGCAGCCGAGGUAAUACGUAGGUGGCAAGCGUUGUCCGGAAUUAUUGGGCGUAAAGCGCUCGCAGGCGGCUCUUUAAGUCUGAUGUGAAAUCUUACGGCUCAACCGUAAACGUGCAUUGGAAACUGGGGAACUUGAGCUGCAGAACAGGAGAGUGGAAUUCCACGUGUACGCGGUGAAAUGCGUAGAGAUGUGGAGGAACACCAGUGGCGAAGGCGACUCUCUGGUCUGUAACUGACGCUGAGGAGCGAAAGCGCUGGGGAGCGAACAGGAUUAGAUACCCUGGUAGUCCACGCCGUACAACGAUGAGUGCUAAGUGUCACAGGGGUUACCGACCCUUAGUGCUGAAGUUAACCGCAUUAAGCACUCCGCCUGGGGAGUACGGACGC
rnacentral:rRNA from 1 species